CUUCAGCUAGUAUAACAUAUUUUAGGGAUGUAAAUAGGAAUAAAUUUACUGGUCUUUGGUCUAAUUAUUUAAACCGUGUAGUAUUCAAUAGAAACCAGGAUAUCAGAAGAAUAGACUCAUUAUACAACAAACAUUUCAGGGUUGCGUAUAAUAUUGUGAAUCCUAAGUUUGAUCAGAAGAACAAAUAUCCUUCUGCUGGCACAUACGAGGGUUAUUAUCUAAACACAUUUUCAGAAAAGUAUGAGUUAAAAACUGAAUUAAUUUAUGCCAAUGAUACCUGGGGAGCCUAUAAUACUGUCACUCAAAAAUGGAAUGGAGCAAUUGCUUUGGUUGGAUAUGAUAAAGCUGAUUUAGGUGUAGGAUAUAUUUCAUAUACUCAACAAAG